rnacentral:rRNA from 1 species
GACGAACGCUGGCGGCGUGCCUAAUACAUGCAAGUCGAGCGCAGGAAGUCAUCCGAACCCUUCGGGGGGACGUUGACGGAAUGAGCGGCGGACGGGUGAGUAACACGUAAAGAACCUGCCCUCAGGUCUGGGAUAACCACGAGAGAUCGGGGCUAAUACCGGAUGGGUCAUCGGACCGCAUGGUCCGAGGAUGAAAGGCGCUCCGGCGUCGCCUGGGGAUGGCUUUGCGGUGCAUUAGCUAGUUGGGGAGGUAAUGGCCCACCAAGGCGACGAUGCAUAGCCGACCUGAGAGGGUGAUCGGCCACACUGGGACUGAGACACGGCCCAGACUCCUACGGGAGGCAGCAGUAGGGAAUCUUCCACAAUGGACGAAAGUCUGAUGGGGCAACGCCGCGUGAACGAUGAAGGCCCUCGGGUCGUAAAGUUCUGUUGUAAGGGAAGAACAAGUGCCGCAGGCAAUGGCGGCACCUUGACGGUACCUUGCGAGAAAGCCACGGCUAACUACGUG